ACAAGACCUUCAAUCCUACCUUUGAUUUAACUUUCUUUUAUACUUUCCCCGUGCACCUGCUGUUCAAUAUCAGGGGUUCAGAUUCUACAGAAUGACAAGUGUGAAGAUCUGGGACCAAGCAGAGCAACAGGUAAUUACUAUUUUCAAUGUAUCUGGAAACUUUAACUGGGACAUAGACCCAUUGUGCUGGAACCUGAACAAGUAUUUGGUUCUGUAUUUCAACCAGAACUAAGUUUGACAAUGAAAAAAAGAAAAAAGAGCCAAUAAAAGCUCUCUUAUAAAUAAGCAUAGUAUAAUAAAUAUUUCCCCUGGAUUAUUGGCCUGGAUUCUACAAGCCAUUUUCUUCUAUUCUUGCCAUGGCUGAUGAACAUGUGAAAAUCAUGCUGCAAUCCUU